rnacentral:rRNA from 1 species
GAAUUCGAUUCAGGCGUAACACAUGCAAGUCGAGCGGGGUUUUCGGACCUAGCGGCGGACGGGUGAGUAAUGCGUAGGAAGCUACCCGAUAGAGGGGGAUACCAGUUGGAAACGACUGUUAAUACCGCAUAAUGUCUACGGACCAAAGUGUGGGACCUUCGGGCCACAUGCUAUCGGAUGCGCCUACGUGGGAUUAGCUAGUUGGUGAGGUAAUGGCUCACCAAGGCGACGAUCUCUAGCUGGUUUGAGAGGAUGAUCAGCCACACUGGAACUGAGACACGGUCCAGACUCCUACGGGAGGCAGCAGUGGGGAAUAUUGGACAAUGGGCGCAAGCCUGAUCCAGCCAUGCCGCGUGUGUGAAGAAGGCCUUCGGGUUGUAAAGCAAUUUGCAGCGAGGAGGAAGGGUUGU